rnacentral:misc_RNA from 1 species
AGAAAAUUAAACAUAGAUUCAAUGAGAAACUAAAGACUGCUGAAAAUACUUUGGUUGAUGAUAUCUUUCCCAAAAUUAAAAACAAUGCAUUCACCAACUAGAAAUUAAAGGAUACGGAUAAAGAGAUCCGGUGAACUAGAAUGAAAUGCAUCAGCAUUUUACAAUCCAAUAUAGGCAGUACACAAAUGACUGAUAAAAUUAUUGCGAGGCAGAUAGCAAUAAGCAGACCGGCUGCCAAUACCUUCAUUAGAAACAAAAUUCAGACGUUAGAAUCACCUACAUCAUUGCUUAAUGACAUUCUCCACAUACCACUUGUAAGUAUCAAUGAGCCCGUCCUUAAGUGAAAUCUUAGGCAUCCACCCCAACCCCAACAGCUUAGAGCUAUCCAUAAGCUUUCUGGGAGUUCCAUCUGGCUUUGAUGUAUCCCAA